AGCGAACGCUGGCGGCAGGCCUAACACAUGCAAGUCGAACGAAGUCUUCGGACUUAGUGGCGGACGGGUGAGUAACACGUGGGAACGUGCCUUUAGGUUCGGAAUAACUCAGGGAAACUUGUGCUAAUACCGAAUGUGCCCUUCGGGGGAAAGAUUUAUCGCCUUUAGAGCGGCCCGCGUCUGAUUAGCUAGUUGGUGAGGUAAAGGCUCACCAAGGCGACGAUCAGUAGCUGGUCUGAGAGGAUGAUCAGCCACAUUGGGACUGAGACACGGCCCAAACUCCUACGGGAGGCAGCAGUGGGGAAUCUUGCGCAAUGGGCGAAAGCCUGACGCAGCCAUGCCGCGUGAAUGAUGAAGGUCUUAGGAUUGUAAAAUUCUUUCACCGGGGACGAUAAUGACGGUACCCGGAGAAGAAGCCCCGGCUAACUUCGUGCCAGCAGCCGCCGUAAGAC
rnacentral:rRNA from 1 species